ACUAGAUCUAGCCCACACUCCCCCCCCCNNNNCCCCCCCCAUCACAGACAAAUCAAAUAAAGCAUUCACCACCCAUUCAAAGUAUAGGAGAUAGAAAUCCAAAUCACUAGUGGCGCUAUAGAGAAAGUACCGUAAGGGAAAGAUGAAAGAUAUCCUAAAAGUAAAAAAAAGCAAAGCUUACCCCUUGUACCUUUUGCAUAAUGAAUUAACUAGUAGUAACUUAGCAAAGAGACCUUUAGUUAAACUACCCGAAACCAGACGAGCUACUUACGAACAGUACCUAGAACGAACUCAUCUAUGUGGCAAAAUAGUGAGAAGAUUUGUAAGUAGAGGUGAAAAGCCUAACGAGCCUGGUGAUAGCUGGUUGUCCAAGAAAAGAAUCUCAGUUCAACAUUAAACAGUACCAAGAACCCCCUGAAGUUCCAAUGUAUGUUUAACUGUUAGUCUAAAAAGGUACAGCUUUUUAGAAAUGGGUACAACCUUAACUAGAGAGUAAAACAGACACACACAUGCCAUAGUUGGCUUAAAAGCAGCCAUCAAUUAAGAAAGCGUUCAAGCUCAACAAUAAAACUGUGUUAUAAUCCCAACAAUAACAAAUCAACUCCUAGUAUAAUUAUUGGACUAAUCUAUAUAAUUAUAGAAGCAAUACUGUUAACAUGAGUAACAAGAAAACUUUUUCUCCUCGCACAAGCUUACAUCAGUAACUGAUACUACACUGAUAGUUAACAGCCAAUAAAUAAAACCCAACACCAAGCCAUUUAUUAAGCCCACUGUUAACCCAACACAGGCGUGCACCAAGGAAAGAUUAAAAAAAGUAAAAGGAACUCGGCAAACACAAACCUCGCCUGUUUACCAAAAACAUCACCUCUAGCAUAACCAGUAUUAGAGGCACUGCCUGCCCAGUGACUGAUAGUUAAACGGCCGCGGUAUCCUGACCGUGCAAAGGUAGCAUAAUCACUUGUUCUCUAAAUAAGGACUUGUAUGAACGGCCACACGAAGGUUUUACUGUCUCUUACUUUUAAUCAGUGAAAUUGACCUUCCCGUGAAGAGGCGGGAAUAACAAAACAAGACGAGAAGACCCUAUGGAGCUUCAAUUAAUCAACCCAAUAACCCACAACCUCAAACCACCAAGGGAUAAAAAAAACUUAUAUGGGUUGACAAUUUCGGUUGGGGUGACCUCGGAGCACAAAAACCCCUCCGAGUGAUUAAAGCCUAGGCCUACCAGCCAAAGCAUAACAUCACUUAUUGAUCCAAAGCUUUGAUCAACGGAACAAGUUACCCUAGGGAUAACAGCGCAAUCCUAUUCUAGAGUCCAUAUCGACAAUAGGGUUUACGACCUCGAUGUUGGAUCAGGACAUCCUAAUGGUGCAGCCGCUAUUAAGGGUUCGUUUGUUCAACGAUUAAAGUCCUACGUGAUCUGAGUUCAGACCGGAGCAAUCCAGGUCGGUUUCUAUCUGUUGCGCAUUUCUCCCAGUACGAAAGGACAAGAGAAAUAAGGCCAACUUUACACACGCGCCUUCAAAUAACUAAUGAUCUAAUCUUAAUUAAACAAACAAGCGCAAACUAACCCUGCCCAAGACCAGGGCAUU
rnacentral:rRNA from 1 species